rnacentral:rRNA from 1 species
CCUACGGGGAGCAGCAGUGAGGAAUAUUGGUCAAUGGGCGCUAGCCUGAACCAGCCAAGUAGCGUGAAGGAUGACUGCCCUAUGGGUUGUAAACUUCUUUUAUAUGGGAAUAAAGUGCAGUAUGUAUACUGCUUUGCAUGUACCUUAUGAAUAAGGAUCGGCUAACUCCGUGCCAGCAGCCGCGGUAAUACGGAGGAUCCGAGCGUUAUCCGGAUUUAUUGGGUUUAAAGGGAGCGUAGGCGGGUUGUUAAGUCCGUUGUGAAAGUUUGCGGCUCAACCGUAAAAUUGCAGUUGAUACUGGCAGCCUUGAGUACAGUAGAGGUAGGCGGAAUUCGUGGUGUAGCGGUGAAAUGCUUAGAUAUCACGAAGAACUCCGAUUGCGAAGGCAGCCUGCUGGACUGUAACUGACGCUGAUGCUCGAAAGUGUGGGUAUCAAACAGGAUUAGAUACCCCGGUAGUC